GACGAACGCUGGCGGCGUGCUUAACACAUGCAAGUCGAACGGAAAGGCCCUGCUUGCAGGGUCCUCGAGUGGCGAACGGGUGAGUAACACGUGGGUGAUCUGCCCUGCACUUCGGGAUAAGCCUGGGAAUCUGGGUCUAAUACCGGAUAGGAGCCAUUUUUAGUGUGAUGGUUGGAAAGUUUUUUCGGUGUAGGAUGAGCUCGCGGCCUAUCAGCUUGUUGGUGGGGUAAUGGCCUACCAAGGCGGCGACGGGUAGCCGGCCUGAGAGGGUGGACGGCCACAUUGGGACUGAGAUACGGCCCAGACUCCUACGGGAGGCAGCAGUGGGGAAUAUUGCACAAUGGGCGCAAGCCUGAUGCAGCGACGCCGCGUGGGGGAUGACGGACUUCGGGUUGUAAACUCCUUUCGCUAGGGACGAAGCUUUUUGUGACGGUACCUAGAUAAGAAGCACCGGCUAACUACGUG
rnacentral:rRNA from 1 species